CUUUUUUGUCAUCAUGCGAGUAUACUCGCGGACAGUCGGACAGCUCCGGAAUAUACCGUUGAGAAUGUUUACAUAGCGAGGAUUCGGGAAAGAACACAGCGAAGCAUGAGAUUUUUGUCAAUAAAACUAUAGAAAUACACAGUGUUUGUAAUUUUAAUUUAUGUUGGGAAUCAACGGGAGGCAAUUCUCAACAACUGGCACCUCCGUGAUGGGAUUUGUGAGAUUUUAAGCUCGAACAAGAGCAAGAACCUAGCAUAUUUAUCGAGUGACAAAUCGAAACUAAACGACAGCGUACAAACUACA